CGGACGGGUGAGUAAUGUCUGGGAAACUGCCUGAUGGAGGGGGAUAACUACUGGAAACGGUAGCUAAUACCGCAUAACGUCGCAAGACCAAAGAGGGGGACCUUCGGGCCUCUUGCCAUCGGAUGUGCCCAGAUGGGAUUAGCCAGUAGGUGGGGUAAAGGCUCACCUAGGCGACGAUCCCUAGCUGGUCUGAGAGGAUGACCAGCCACACUGGAACUGAGACACGGUCCAG
rnacentral:rRNA from 1 species